rnacentral:rRNA from 1 species
UGGGGAAUAUUGCACAAUGGGCGAAAGCCUGAUGCAGCGACGCCGCGUGAGGGAUGACGGCCUUCGGGUUGUAAACCUCUUUCAGCAGGGACGAAGCGCAAGUGACUGUACCUGCAGAAGAAGCACCGGCUAACUACGUGCCAGCAGCCGCGGUAAUACGUAGGGUGCGAGCGUUGUCCGGAAUUAUUGGGCGUAAAGAGCUUGUAGGUGGCUCGUUGCGUCGGGAGUGAAAACCCGCGGCUUAACCGCGGGCCUGCUUCCGAUACGGGCGAGCUAGAGUUCGGCAGGGGAGACUGGAAUUCCUGGUGUAGCGGUGGAAUGCGCAGAUAUCAGGAGGAACACCGGUGGCGAAGGCGGGUCUCUGGGCCGAUACUGACACUGAGAAGCGAAAGCGUGGGGAGCGAACAGGAUUAGAUACCCCCGUAGUCC